GGAAGACCAGAGCAUCCAGGAGCCCAAAGAGGCCAACUCCAUGACGGCCCAGAAGCAGAAGAAGUGAGGGCUUCGAGGCUCCCGUAGGCGCCAUGCCAACAGCGGUGGAGAUAUCUUCGGGGACAGCUUUGCCGCCUAUUUCCCCCGGGUGCUGAAGCAGGUUCACCAGGCCCUCAGCCUUUCCCAGGAGGCCGUGAGUGUCAUGGAUUCUAUGGUUCGUGACAUACUGGACCGCAUCGCCACCGAGGCUGGUCACCUGGCCCACUACUCCAAGUGCGUGACCAUCACCUCCCGGGACAUUCGGAUGGCCGUGUGCCUGCUGCUGCCGGGGAAGAUGGGCAAGCUCGCUGAGUCUCAGGGCACGAAUGCCACCCUCAGAACUUCAUUAUGUGCGAUAUGGCAAGAGAGAAAGUGAAUACGCUGAUAUAAGAAGCAAGAAACCUUCCUUCCUUCCAGAUGUGUGUCAGUAGAAUUACAGAGUGUCCACGGAAACAGCUCAUGCCCUAGUGUACAGUGGUGCAGCCAAUGAGUGACCUGAAGUCUAUGAGCAACACUCAUUGUCCCAAUGUGGGACGAGUGACCGAAGCUGAACCCACAACAGCCUUCCUGUGAUAUUCCACGUGGUGGUUAAAGAAUAUUAGAAAAAUAUUAUGAAAAUAGUUGAAGAGAAAUGUUAUGAAAAUAGUUGAAGCUGUACUUACUGCACAAGGAGACCAAGAAAAACUCCCACAAAAUCAGCUGCAAGUAAAUCCCUCUGGAUGGUGCCGCCACAUGUUCCUACAAGUCCAGAACAACCCUUGCCAAACCAAAGACACUUGGCAGAACCCUGUUCCUUUCUAGAGACAGAGCUGUAUACCUGUUCCAAAACACCACAUCUCACUCAGUGACUUAUUUCUCAUUAUGCUAAUUGUUUUGCUGUAAAGUGCCAAUGUUUCUGUGAAUUAAGACAUACGAAUAAAUUUCUGAAGUUACCCUUGCA